UACGUAGGGUGCGAGCGUUGUCCGGAAUUAUUGGGCGUAAAGAGCUCGUAGGCGGUCUGUCGCGUCGAUCGUGAAAACUUGGGGCUUAACCCUGAGCUUGCGGUCGAUACGGGCAUGACUGGAGUUCGGCAGGGGAGAACGGAAUUCCUGGUGUAGCGGUGAAAUGCGCAGAUAUCAGGAGGAACACCGGUGGCGAAGGCGGUGGUCUGGGCCGGCACUGACGCUGAGGAGCGAAAGCGUGGGGAGCGAACAGG
rnacentral:rRNA from 1 species